AUGAAACAUCGAAACUGGGCUGGUAACCCGCGUUGCUCCUUUUGCAACUGCAGGGAAACCUAUUUGCACUUGUUUUUCCUUUGCCCUGUUGCUAGAGUAGUUUGCCGCACAGUGGGUGCGAUGCUUGGAACUGACCUAUGCCCCAACAACUUAUGGCAGUUCUACUCUUGGUGUUAUGCCUUUCUUCCUCAUGGAGAGAAACAUUUUACUGCGGGGCUAGCGGCUGUCUGCUAGGCCAUUUGGAACCGCAGAAAUCAUGCCACUUUUGAAUUCAAGAAAUUGUCAUCUCCUUUUGAGAUUGUUUUCACGGCUUGCACACAUUUAUCUUACUGGGCAUGUCUGCUGAAAGGCGAGGAACGAUCGGAGCUGGAGCAUGGCACGGCGCUUCUGAAGAGGAAUGCUAAGGAGUUGAUGAGCCUCUACGCAACUGCGUACACGGGAACCACCCUGGGAUGA
rnacentral:rRNA from 1 species